rnacentral:lncRNA from 1 species
AGCGUUUUGCUUAGUGAGUUCUACUCUGUGUAUUAAGCUAUAAAUAUUUUCAGCCUGGACCACCCCUUUAAUGAACAAUUCAUCUCAUCAUAUAGACCAAGUGGUUUUCGACCAGUUGGUUAGAUGAAAUGGGAAUUAGAAGAAUGGUAAGUGGGCUAAAAUGCAAUUAGACCAAAUAGUGAGUAGAUCAACUAUUUAUAGAUGAACUAGGAUAAGACCAUAUAGGAUGAGACCAAAUGGAUAGUAGACCAAGUGGAUCUAGACCAAGUGGCAAUUUACCUUCCAAGUCAUUCCUCCAAAAGAUGUGAGAUUUAACUAUUUUAUUGUUAAAAAUGAAACCUGCAAUAAAAUUAUGUAGCCAAUCUUAAAUUUAAAAACAGGAUCUGAAACACCUAUUGAGUUUGUUUGUUUUUAUUUUCACUAAAAAUAAUGACAAUUUCAUGAAUGUGUAAAUACCUAAUUUCAUUCACCAAGAAUAGUAUUAAAUGAAACUCUGAGAGCUGUCUCUUCAACGUGGGCAUUUCUUAAAUCUGUUCGUAAAAUUACGCAUGACUGGAACAUAUUCUUAGGUCAUAAAUCAACUACACAAGAAAGAAAGAUAGCACAUGAAAGGAUCUCUCUCCAGUCGUGUGUAUAGUCAUUUGUAACUGAUGAACAGCUCUAUGAAACACCCACCAGAGGUUUCAUAUUCCCUAUUGGAUAUCUAAAUUUAUAUGACACCUAUAUAGAUCCAUGUCAUUUGAUUGAUGGUUUGAUGUUGAUCAUUCAGGCCAUUUUACAAUGACAUCAUUUAUCUGUGCAAUUUUGGAUCCAUAUGAUUUGUCCAUUGCACACGCACGUCGAGACCACCAGCAGUAUACACAUUAAAAAACUUGUGUGUACAGUGAAUGUGUUUGUAUGUAUGCGACAAUCAACAGACCACGUUUGCGUUGAAUGUACUUAUGCCAAAUGACAAUGACCUAUAUUUAGGUGUCAUAUAAAACAAAUAAUUUUUUUUCAUUCAUGCAAUGAACAGAAUACUUGAUAGAUGAAAAGACUGAUUUAUUCAACUCGACUACACCUCAUUGAAUGGAUCAUUUCAUCUUUCACCUCAAUAAGUAUUCUGUCCAUUGCACUCAUAAACAUUCACUAUUUUUAUAGUAGGUUAAUAUAAUGACCAACUUCUAUAGUGGUUUGUGGAAAUAGGAUUAGGUCUCUCCUCAUUAUAACUCUGCCCCAAGGUUUCCACUUCUACAAACAAUCCAGGGCCCAAAGCAUUAGACUUACGGAUAUAAAGCUUAGCAAUUGAUUGUGGGAUUGAUUUCUGCACAUGAUUUCUGUGACUGACUGCAUUGAUUACUAUGUAUGAUCAAUUGUAAAAUCAGCUCUACAAUCAAUCAUAAAUAUCAGCCUCAUCAUCAAUCAUUGUGUUUUAUGUAACAGGGCCCUUGUUUGCUCUUUGAGGCUUCAUAUAUUGCUCCUCAUGUCUAAAGGCCUGGUCACUACAGAAAUCCUGUCUUGUGGAGGGUACACAGUCUGGCUGUGGGGUUGAAAGACUCAAGAUCUUUGGAGGUUCUCUAAAUGGGAUUUACAAACUUCUUCAUGGUUUCUCACAGGCAAUUAAUUACCUUUGUAACUGCGUAACCAAAAGCUCUGUACCAAGAUUCAUUUUCGAAGACAUUUGUUAUCAGUGUUUGCUUCUUUGGUACUAGUGUUUCUCACUCUUCAUCUCUGAGUGGCUCAUCUCUACCAGGCAAGCUAUCUUCAGGGUGUUACAGACUGAGUCUGGUCUGUCAUGUAUCUCUGAAAUUCUUACAAUAUUCUU